UGAUAUGUGUGGCGUUCACGGAUAAGAAUCUAUGUUAUUUUGAGGAUGUGGCAUUUUAUGAUAGGCUGGCAACUCAAUAUUUUCUAUUGUUAAACAGGCAAUACAAUUGAUGAAAGUCUUACUGCGAGAUACCAAAUAAUUAUUAAGUCUACACUUAACAGUGGUUUCUUGCAGUUGUAUUAAGAGUACAAUAAAUAUACAUUUUCACUUUUAUACUGCCCUAUUAUAACUUGUGAAUGACCGAAGAAUACAACUCCAGUAACUAAUUAAAUAAAGUAUAAUAAUUAUAAUAAAACAUGAAACAGAUCUAUUGAUGGUUGAUUAAAAUCGUCUUAAUUUACAGUAUAAAUGUUCAUUCAUGCUAUGAUAAUUUGACAUUAGAAUUACACUUGUCAUUCAUAUAGGACAGUAUAUCAUACAAACUGAGCGGCUUAAUAAAAUAACAGUAAUCUCAUACCCAUCCCUACAGCGGUCGAUUAUGAAAGUGUUGGCUUAGGGGUCUAUCUUUA